AUUGGACGCUGGCGGCAUGCUUUACACAUGCAAGUCGAACGGCAGCGCGGGCUUCGGCCUGGCGGCGAGUGGCGAACGGGUGAGUAAUGCAUCGGAACGUGCCCAGUAGUGGGGGAUAGCCCGGCGAAAGCCGGAUUAAUACCGCAUACGACCUGAGGGUGAAAGCGGGGGACCGAAAGGCCUCGCGCUAUUGGAGCGGCCGAUGUCGGAUUAGCUAGUUGGUGGGGUAAAGGCUUACCAAGGCGACGAUCCGUAGCUGGUCUGAGAGGACGACCAGCCACACUGGGACUGAGACACGGCCCAGACUCCUACGGGAGGCAGCAGUGGGGAAUUUUGGACAAUGGGGGCAACCCUGAUCCAGCCAUGCCGCGUGCGGGAAGAAGGCCUUCGGGUUGUAAACCGCUUUUGUUCGGGAAGAAAUCCUCUGGGCUAAUACCCCGGGGGGAUGACGGUACCGGAAGAAUAAGCACCGGCUAACUACGUG
rnacentral:rRNA from 1 species